rnacentral:rRNA from 1 species
UACGUAGGUGGCAAGCGUUGUUCGGAAUUAUUGGGCGUAAAGGGCGCGUAGGCGGUUUGGUAAGUCUUAUGUGAAAUCUACAGGCUCAACUUGUAGUCUGCAUGAGAAACUGCCGGGCUUGAGUGUGGGAGAGGUGAGUGGAAUUCCUGGUGUAGCGGUGAAAUGCGUAGAUAUCAGGAGGAACACCUGUGGCGAAAGCGGCUCACUGGACCAUAACUGACGCUGAUGCACGAAAGCUAGGGGAGCAAACAGG